GGAAACCAUCCAUGGAGAAUCACCAUGUUGAGGGGAAAAAGAGAACAUCCACAAAUGUUCUUUUUUGAAGUUCUCCGAUCAGAAGCUAGUCUUUGUGAUAAUAAAUUAUCUAUAUCCGCUGGGAGAUGCUGCCAAAUAAGCAGCUGUAAUCAUCGCAGCAGAACGAGUACUCCGCAAAACAGUAAAAACAGAUCUGCCGUGCAUGACUGCUCCUCGGGGCCCUGCCACCUCAACCCGCAGCGUGUUAAUCACCGUCUCUGAAGGAGGUGGAGGGGAGUGUGUGGAGCCGGAUCUCUGCGGAGGUGCUCUGCAGGGGGCAUCCCGGGAAACCCGUGGAGGAGCUCUUUCAGUUGGGGAGGAUGGAGGCGGGGCGGAGAAGGCCUUUUGCUUCCCUGCUGCACCCUGAUGUGGAGAGGAGAGGAGGAGGGCGCCGGACCCCUGGAGAUGAGGCUGAGCUUGUCGCCUGGCGAGAUGUGUGGAGCGGUGGGAAGGGGACCUGUCUGUG
rnacentral:lncRNA from 1 species